UACGUAGGGUGCAAGCGUUGUCCGGAAUUAUUGGGCGUAAAGAGCUCGUAGGCGGUUUGUCGCGUCUGCUGUGAAAACUGGAGGCUCAACCUCCAGCCUUCAGUGGGUACGGGCAGACUAGAGUGCGGUAGGGGAGAUUGGAAUUCCUGGUGUAGCGGUGGAAUGCGCAGAUAUCAGGAGGAACACCGAUGGCGAAGGCAGAUCUCUGGGCCGUAACUGACGCUGAGGAGCGAAAGCAUGGGGAGCGAACAGG
rnacentral:rRNA from 1 species